CGAGGUUGUGUCUGAAGGUUGUGUCCGAGGUUGUGUCCGAGGUUGUGUCCGAGGUUGUGUCUGAAGGUUGUGUCCGAGGUUGUGUCCGAGGUUGUGUCUGAAGGUUGUGUCCGAGGUUGUGUCCGAGGUUGUGUCCGAGGUUGUGUCCGAGGUUGUGUCUGAAGGUUGUGUCCGAGGUUGUGUCCGAGGUUGUGUCCGAGGUUGUGUCUGAAGGUUGUGUCCGAGGUUGUGUCCGAGGUUGUGUCUGAAGGUUGUGUCCGAGGUUGUGUCUGAAGGUUGUGUCCGAGGUUGUGUCCGAGGUUGUGUCCGAGGUUGUGUCUGAAGGUUGUGUCCG